UACGAAGGGGGCUAGCGUUUCUCGGAACCACUGGGCGUAAAGCGCACGUAGGCGGCUUUCUAAGUCAGGGUGAAAUCCUGGAGCUCAACUCCAGAACUGCCCUUGAUACUGGAGAGCUUGAGUUCGGGAGAGGUGAGUGGAACUGCGAGUGUAGAGGUGAAAUUCGUAGAUAUUCGCAAGAACACCAGUGGCGAAGGCGGCUCACUGGCCCGAUACUGACGCUGAGGUGCGAAAGCGUGGGGAGCAAACAGG
rnacentral:rRNA from 1 species